rnacentral:rRNA from 1 species
UACGUAGGGGGCGAGCGUUGUCCGGAUUUAUUGGGCGUAAAGGGCGUGUAGGCGGCCAGGUAGGUCUGCUGUGAAAACUCGAGGCUCAACCUCGAGACGUCGGCGGAAACCAUCUGGCUAGAGUCCGGAAGAGGAGAGUGGAAUUCCUGGUGUAGCGGUGAAAUGCGCAGAUAUCAGGAAGAACACCCGUGGCGAAGGCGGCUCUCUGGGACGGUACUGACGCUGAGACGCGAAAGCGUGGGGAGCGAACAGG